UACUGGACGAUGAAGAUGCCCGAAACGGUGAGCACGCGCAUGACGCGGCGCAUGUCGCGGAGCCUGCACGGGCUGAUGCCGGCCUCGGCGAGUAUCUGGGGCAGGGUGGCGGAGCCGCCGAGGCGGUGGACGGCGUCGGCGAUGCCGAGGUCCAAGGCGAUGGCGAGCGCGGCGGACUUGAAGAAGCCGAGGGACUGAUGCCAGAGCUGGAGCUCGGCCUGGAGCAGCUCCUGGCUGCUGUACUCGGCGAGCAAUGCCAUUACUGCCCCGAUCGACCAAUCAGUCGAUCUUGAUGGCUGGUUCUUUCUUGUUCAGGGGUUGCUGAGCUUUGGGUGGAGCCAUACACGCAUCGGGUACUUAUAGUUGCAUGGCAGCUUGGUUAAGAGGGUGUUUGGGAGAAGGGGGUUAAACUUUAGCCUUGUCACAUCGGAUGUUCGGAUACUAAUUAGGAGGACUAAAUAUAAGCUAAUUACAAAACUAAUUGCAGAACCCCUAAGCUAAAUCGCAAGACGAAUCUAUUAACCCUAACUAAUUAGGCUUAAUAGAUUCGUCUCGCGAUUUAACCUAGGGGUUGUGUAAUUAGUUUUGUAAUUAGUCUAGGUUUAAUACUCCUAACUAGUGUCCAAACAUUCGAUGUGACGGGAGCUAAAAUUUAGCCCCCUCCUCCCAAACACCUACCCCCAACGAACAUGAGCAUUAUUCUACAAGCUCUCAUUGGCUGUAUAUGCAAGCAUGUGCAGCCUUGGAAAUCAAGACGAUAUCCCAGCCGGUGCCCAGUUGACUUUGAAAGGAGGAACGAGUCAUGAGAGAUUUUUUGAAAAUAGAAUGAUAGGCUGCUUCUGCAUAUGUACUUAUAUACCAAUGAAAACUAAUUGUAUAUAUAGGGAAUUUUGAAGCACUUAGUCAACUACUAGCUGCAGUAGCUUGAAUGGUCGCAUUACAUAUGCACACGGCAGCUACUUACCCCUUGUUUACUUUCCAAUUUGGGAUAGGCAAAAUUGACAUUUUGCCAUAAAUGCGUAACUGUAGCGUUUCGUUUGUAUUUGUGAAUUAUUGUCUAAAUAUUGACUAAUUAGGCUCAAAAGAUUCGUCUCGCAAAGUACAACGAAAUUGUGUAAUUAGUUUUUGAUUUCGUCUACAUUUAGUACUCCAUGCAUGUACCGCAAGUUUGAUGUGAUGGUGAAUCUUCUUUUUGCAUAGUGUCAAAGUUGGGUGUUUGGGAGAAGGGGGCUAAACUUUAGCCUUGUCACAUCGGAUGUUCGGAUACUAAUUAGGAGGACUAAACAUAAGCUAAUUACAAAACUAAUUGCAGAACCCCUAGGCUAAAUCGCGAGACGAAUCUAUUAAGCCUAAUUAAUCCAUCAUUAGUGAAUGGUUACUGUAGCACCGCAUUGUCAAAUCAUGGACUAAUUAGGCUUAAUAGAUUCGUCUCGCGAUUUAGCCUAGGGGUUGUGUAAUUAGUCUAGGUUUAAUACUCCUAACUAGUGUCCAAACAUUCGAUGUGACGGGGGUUAAAAUUUAGCCCCCUCCUCCCAAACACCUACCCCAACGAACAUGAGCAUUAUUCUACAAGCUCUCAUUGGCUGUAUAUGCAAGCAUGUGCAGCCCUGGAAAUCAAGACGAUAUCCCAGCCGGUGCCCAGUUGACUUUGAAAGGAGGAACGAGUCAUGAGAGAUUUUUUGAAAAUAGAAUGAUAGGCUGCUUCUGCAUAUGUACUUAUAUACCAAUGAAAACUAAUUGUAUAUAUAGGGAAUUUUGAAGCACUUAGUCAACUCCUAGCUGCAGUAGCUUGAAUGGUCGUAUUACAUACGCACACGGCAGCUACUUACCCCUCGUUUACUUCCCAAUUUGGGAUAGGCAAAAUUGACAUUUUGUCAUAAAUGCGCAACUGUAGCGUUUCGUUUGUAUUUGUGAAUUAUUGUCUAAAUAUUGACUAAUUAGGCUCAAAAGAUUCGUCUCGCAAAGUACAACGAAAUUGUGUAAUUAGUUUUUGAUUUCGUCUACAUUUAGUACUCCAUGCAUGUACCGCAAGUUUAAUGUGAUGAAGAAUCUUCUUUUUGCAUAGUGUCAAAGUUGGGAGUUUGGAGGGAAGUAAACAAGGGGUUAGUUUAGGCUGCUAGGUGACCGCGAGCGGAAGCUUACGUUGCCUUGGUCAGAAUUCGAGCUAUAUAGAGAGGAGAGGCUGCGCGCUGCGCCAAGGUAUCAAUCAAUCUUAUCCUUGACCGUGAUGGCUGAAGAAGUCUUCCAUGUCUGCGCCUGCAAACUACUAAACAAAUCUUUAUCCUUGGUCAGAAUUCGAGCUGUAUAGAGAGGAGAGGCUGCGCGUAGAUCUCUAUCAUGAAUGCACAUGUAUAUCAAGCAUAAGUACUUGCAAACCAAUCAUUGAGUCUUUCACCGUUGCACGGUUUUGUUUUUAAAAGUAUGUUUGCAACUAGUCACUUCUGAAGGUAUUUGCAAUUGCAAAAAUAGUUUCUAACGUCUAUUACCGAAAAAAUUGUCCUUUUGCAUCUUAGUUUUUAAUUAUGUUGAGUUUGACAAUGAAAUUUUAUGGAUGCAUAUAUCAUGCUCAUCCCCAUCUAUAGUAAAAUUUAUAAAAUAUUCUCAAACCUUUUAAGUAGAGUGAAAAUUAAAUCCACAUUCUUGUGUCGUUUACACCACCUAUAUACUUCACCCAAGAAUGCAAUCAAAUAUGCUCACCCACCUACUGCUAGAUGUGCCUCUUCAAUAUUCAACUUAUUUUUCAUGGCUGUCCUCUCCUUAUGUCGACUGCUUCCGACGCUGCAUUGUGCACCACCGUAGUCGCUGUGCUUCCUUCGUCUCCGGUGACGAUGACAAUGCCUGCUUUGCCGCCACCAUUUUUCAGCGUGGUGGUUGUCCGAUUUCGAGUGAGAAGCAGUGUACAUCUCUAAGGCAGAUUCAUUUUUCACCGAUCCUCCAUCUGAGAAGAAGAGGAAAAGGAAGAGGAGGAGGAAGAGGAAGGAGAAGCAAGAUGACGUUGCUGCCAGAAAGCCUGAUGACAUGGAUUUGAACAUAAAUGACGACGACAUGGUAGAUUAGCAAACACAGUGGAAUAAAAACUAGACUCAAGUAUGUGCCCUUCAUGUAUACUUUGAGCAAAGCACUAUACAUGUGCAAACUUUUUUCCAGGUCUAAGUAGGCAAGCACCAAAGUAAUAAAACAGGUUUUACUCCUUUUGUAGGGUCAGAUGCCCGAAUAUGAAUCCCCCACAUAUGUAUAGGGCCACUUAUUGGACACUAUGCAUCUUAACAAUAAUUCAGAACCAGUAUAUAUAUAAUUUUGUGAUGUCUUAUUCUUUGGAUGGUGUUCUGUUCACCAAGCUUUCAAGGAUAGAGCUCGAUAACAGAUCGAACACCGAGAACAGGUAUAAUUUUGUAGUCCUUGAAUCCAGCCUCGAAGAAAAUCUUCUUCCACUCUUGCUCAUCUCGUUCAACUCCAUUGAUGUUCAUGAUUAAGAGGUCAUACAAAACUUGUGUCUCUGCAUGCUUGAUAUCAUCUGACGGCCCAGAUCCGACCACCAUAUCUAUUAUUAUUAUCUUUCCUCCAGCAUCUCGUGGAGAUAUAGCUUGUUUGCAGUUCUUCAAUAUCUUGACACACUCGUCAUCGCGCCAAUCAUGCAAAAUCCACUGAAAAAAACAAGCAAUCAUGCAUCAAUUUUCAAUCCAUACAUAAAUUAAACAUACAAUAGCUUAGGGCAUUUGCUGGUUGCUGUCAGUAAUGUGCAUUCGAAACAUUUGGGUAUUGGGAUGUACCUUGAGGAACACAGCGUUCGCCGGUGGAAUACUCUCAAACACGUCACCAGCAACGUAGUGCACGUCAGUACCAGAGGGAGCUUUUGCGACGACCUGUGGGAGAUCCAGCACGGUGCACUUCAAAUCCGGGAACGCCGCUGCUAUGGUCGCAGCGGCCCCGCCAAGGCCGCCGGCGACAUCGACGAGGGAGGUUAGCCCACGGAAGACCUCGGCGCACUCCCUGAGGACGAUCGGCAUCAGGAAGGCGGUGUCCGCGGCCAUGGCGUCGUUGAACCGGAACGCGGCGGCGUCAUGUUCCGCUCUCUCCCAGACCGUCUGGCCGCCGUACGCCAUGGCGAACGGGGACAGACCCGGCUGCUGCUGGUCGCCCUGCUGCCGGAACCACUUGCGCAUGCCCAUGCUAACCGGAGAAUCUCGGACCGGCCCGAGCAAGAGCUGCACGGUCAGGAAAUGAGGCAGUUGGCCCGUCGCCGUCGAGCUCUUGUCCCUGACGAGGAGGCGGGAGGCCGCUGUCAGCUUGUAGACCGCGGCGUCGUGCCUGCUUUCUGCCGCCGCCGCCGCCGCCGCCUCGUCCGGGUGCUGGACGAUGAAGAUGCCCGAAACGGUGAGCACGCGCAUGACGCGGCGCAUGUCGCGGAGCCUGCACGGGCUGAUCCCGGCCUCGGCGAGUAUCUGGGGCAGGGUGGCGGCGCCGCCGAGGCGGUGGACGGCGUCGGCGAUGCGGAGGUCCAAGGCGAUGGCGAGCGCGGCGGACUUGAAGAAGCCGAGGGACUGGUGCCAGAGCUGGAGCUCGGCCUGGAGCAGCUCCUGGCUGCUGUACUCGGCGAGCAAUGCCAUUACUGCCCCGAUCGACCAAUCAGUCGAUCUUGAUGGCUAAUUCUUCCUUGUUCAGGGGUUGCUGAGCUUUGGGUGGAGCCAUACACGCAUCGGGUACUUAUAGUUGCAUGGCAGCUUGGUUAAGUAUUCUACCCCCAACGAACAUGAGCAUUAUUCUACAAGCUCUCAUUGGCUGUAUAUGCAAGCAUGUGCAGCCCUGGAAAUCAAGACGAUAUCCCAGCCGGUGCCCAGUUGACUUUGAAAGGAGGAACGAGUCAUGAGAGAUUUUUUGAAAAUAGAAUGAUAGGCUGCUUCUGCAUAUGUACUUAUAUACCAAUGAAAACUAAUUGUAUAUAUAGGGAAUUUUGAAGCACUUAGUCAACUACUAGCUGCAGUAGCUUGAAUGGUCGCAUUACAUACGCACACGGCAGCUACUUAGUUUAGGCUGCUAGGUGACCGCGAGCGGAAGCUUACGUUGCCUUGGUCAGAAUUCGAGCUAUAUAGAGAGGAGAGGCUGCGCGGCUGCGCCAAGGUAUCAAUCAAUCUUAUCCUUGACCGUGAUGGCUGAAGAAGUCUUCCAUGUCUGCGCCUCCAAAGUACUAAACAAGAGCACCAGGAAUUCAGGAUCUCAUGACUGCUCAUCACUUUUGUUUUUUUAUAACUAUCUGCUCAACGAUCACUUUUGGAGUUUUUGGACAGCUACCAUGCUAGUUGAAACCACGCACCUUCAUGUUGCCGUCACAAGACUACCGUUUCAAUAUGUCCAAGUUAACAGUGGACUGAUCAGUUGCAAUCUGCAAGCGAACCAUCUUCACUGACAAUAGCUAUCAUGGAUGCACAUGUAUAUCAAGCAUAAGUACUUGCAAACCAAUCAUUGAGUCUUUCACCGUUGCACGGUUUUGUUUUUAAAAGUAUGUUUGCAACUAGUCACUUCUGAAGGUAUUUGCAAUUGCAAAAAUAGUUUCUAACGUCUAUUACCGAAAAAAUUGUCCUUUUGCAUCUUAGUUUUUAAUUAUGUUGAGUUUGACAAUGAAAUUUUAUGGAUGCAUAUAUCAUGCUCAUCCCCAUCUAUAGUAAAAUUUAUAAAAUAUUCUCAAACCUUUUAAGUAGAGUGAAAAUUAAAUCCACAUUCUUGUGUCGUUUACACCACCUAUAUACUUCACCCAAGAAUGCAAUCAAAUAUGCUCACCCACCUACUGCUAGAUGUGCCUCUUCAAUAUUCAACUUAUUUUUCAUGGCUGUCCUCUCCUUAUGUCGACUGCUUCCGACGCUGCAUUGUGCACCACCGUAGUCGCUGUGCUUCCUUCGUCUCCGGUGACGAUGACAAUGCCUGCUUUGCCGCCACCAUUUUUCAGCGUGGUGGUUGUCCGAUUUCGAGUGAGAAGCAGUGUACAUCUCUAAGGCAGAUUCAUUUUUCACCGAUCCUCCAUCUGAGAAGAAGAGGAAAAGGAAGAGGAGGAGGAAGAGGAAGGAGAAGCAAGAUGACGUUGCUGCCAGAAAGCCUGAUGACAUGGAUUUGAACAUAAAUGACGACGACAUGGUAGAUUAGCAAACACAGUGGAAUAAAAACUAGACUCAAGUAUGUGCCCUUCAUGUAUACUUUGAGCAAAGCACUAUACAUGUGCAAACUUUUUUCCAGGUCUAAGUAGGCAAGCACCAAAGUAAUAAAACAGGUUUUACUCCUUUUGUAGGGUCAGAUGCCCGAAUAUGAAUCCCCCACAUAUGUAUAGGGCCACUUAUUGGACACUAUGCAUCUUAACAAUAAUUCAGAACCAGUAUAUAUAUAAUUUUGUGAUGUCUUAUUCUUUGGAUGGUGUUCUGUUCACCAAGCUUUCAAGGAUAGAGCUCGAUAACAGAUCGAACACCGAGAACAGGUAUAAUUUUGUAGUCCUUGAAUCCAGCCUCGAAGAAAAUCUUCUUCCACUCUUGCUCAUCUCGUUCAACUCCAUUGAUGUUCAUGAUUAAGAGGUCAUACAAAACUUGUGUCUCUGCAUGCUUGAUAUCAUCUGACGGCCCAGAUCCGACCACCAUAUCUAUUAUUAUUAUCUUUCCUCCAGCAUCUCGUGGAGAUAUAACUUGUUUGCAGUUCUUCAGUAUCUUGACACACUCGUCAUCGCGCCAAUCAUGCAAAAUCCACUGGAAAAAACAAGCAAUCAUGCAUCAAUUUUCAAUCCAUACAUAAAUUAAACAUACAAUAGCUUAGGGCAUUUGCUGGUUGCUGUCACUAAUGUGCAUUCGAAACAUUUGGGUACUGGGAUGUACCUUGAGGAACACAGCGUUCGCCGGUGGAAUACUCUCAAACAUGUCACCAGCAACGUAGUGCACGUCAGUACCAGAGGGAGCUUGUGCGACGACCUGUGGGAGAUCCAGCACGGUGCACUUCAAAUCCGGGAACGCCGCUGCUAUGGUCGCAGCGGCCCCGCCAAGGCCGCCGGCGACAUCGACGAGGGAGGUUAGCCCACGGAAGACCUCGGCGCACUCCCUGAGGACGAUCGGCAUCAGGAAGGCGGUGUCCGCGGCCAUGGCUUCGUUGAACCGGAACGCCUCGGCGUCACCCUCCGCUCUCUCCCAGACAGACUGGCCGCCGUACGCCAUGGAGAACGGGGACAGACCCGGCUGCUGCAGGUCACCCUGCUGCCGGAACCACUUGCGCAUGCCCAUGCUGACCGGAGAAUCUCGGACCGGCCAGAGCAAGAGCUGCACGGUCAGGAAAUGAGGCAGCUGGCCCGUCGCCGUCGAGCUCUUGUCCCUGACGAGGAGGCGGGAGGCCGCCGUCAGCUUGUAGACCGCGGCGUCGUGCCUGCUUUCUGCCGCCGCCGCCGCCUCGUCCGGGUACUGGACGAUGAAGAUGCCCGAAACGGUGAGCACGCGCAUGACGCGGCGCAUGUCGCGGAGCCUGCACGGGCUGAUGCCGGCCUCGGCGAGUAUCUGGGGCAGGGUGGCGGAGCCGCCGAGGCGGUGGACGGCGUCGGCGAUGCCGAGGUCCAAGGCGAUGGCGAGCGCGGCGGACUUGAAGAAGCCGAGGGACUGAUGCCAGAGCUGGAGCUCGGCCUGGAGCAGCUCCUGGCUGCUGUACUCGGCGAGCAAUGCCAUUACUGCCCCGAUCGACCAAUCAGUCGAUCUUGAUGGCUG
rnacentral:lncRNA from 1 species